rnacentral:lncRNA from 1 species
CUGGGCUCUCCCUCCCCUGACCUGGCGGCAGCAGGGCACCUGCACCCCUGGGGAGGGCCGGCUGCCUGCUGAUGGGCCAUCCUUUGCGUUUACCACCCCACACCUUCCCUUAUCCUUUGCUUUUGAAAGGUAACAACCCCCAAGUACCCAGUGCUGUGUUAAACACUUUACUUCCUCCCAACAACACUAGAGCGUUGGCUAUUAUGACCCCCAUUUUAUGGAUUAGGAAACCAAGGAACCAUGAGAUUAAGAAACUUGCCCCAGGACAUACAGCUAGUAAGUGAUAGAGCUGAGGCUCAAACCCGUGCAAUCUGACUCCACAGCCCUCACUUUUAGCCCCAUGCUGUGUACAGAGCUGCCCAUCUUUUCUGCCACCUCCUUGUUCCAUGGCCCUGUCCUCUCAUGGGCUAGAGAGGAGCCUCCAGGGUUAUUGAGUUCCCAUCCCAGUGCUGUUCUUGGUAACUUUGGCUGCCAGACCAUGGGCCACAGCACCUGAGACAGUCACACAGGCCCUUUUGCCUCUGCAGCUCUCUGUCUGAACAGUCAUAGUCCCAGACACCUCCUCACUCCAUCCUCACCUGUAACCUCACCUUAGCGCCUGUCUGCCGCUGCAAAGAUCUGUGUGGCAGCAAAGAUGUGGGAGGUGGAAGUAGGGAGUGAAGCUGUCUGCAGGCGCAGAAGGGUUUCUUUAGAGGCUGGGCUGCCUCCUGCUGGUGCUUGGUGCACCUGCCAUUGGUGCCCAGGCCUCACUAGGCUGGGCCCUGACCAGAGCUCUCGAGCCCCAGCUGCUCCUCUCCAGUUUCUGUAGCGUGGUUUGGGUUGGUCCAAUGAGG